AACUUUCAACAACGGAUCUCUUGGCUCUGGCAUCGAUGAAGAACGCAGCAAAAUGCGAUAAGUAAUGUGAAUUGCAGAAUUCAGUGAAUCAUCGAAUCUUUGAACGCACAUUGCGCCCGCCAGUAUUCUGGCGGGCAUGCCUGUUCGAGCGUCAU
rnacentral:rRNA from 1 species